UACGUAGGGUGCAAGCGUUGUCCGGAAUUAUUGGGCGUAAAGAGCUCGUAGGCGGUUCGUCGCGUCGGCUGUGAAAUCCCGGAGCUCAACUCCGGGUCUGCAGUCGAUACGGGCGGACUCGAGUUCGGCAGGGGAGACUGGAAUUCCUGGUGUAGCGGUGAAAUGCGCAGAUAUCAGGAGGAACACCGGUGGCGAAGGCGAUCAUCUGGGGGUUGUUCUGACACUGAGGAGCGAAAGCUAGGGGAGCAAACGGG
rnacentral:rRNA from 1 species